GACGAACGCUGGCGGCGUGCUUAACACAUGCAAGUCGAGCGGUAAGGCCCUUUCGGGGGUACACGAGCGGCGAACGGGUGAGUAACACGUGGGUGACCUGCCCUCAGCUCCGGGAUAAGCCUGGGAAACCGGGUCUAAUACUGGAUAUUACUCCAUGACGCAUGUUGUGGGGUGGAAAGCCUUGUGCGGCUGAGGAUGGGCCCGCGGCCUAUCAGCUUGUUGGUGGGGUGAUGGGCCACCAAGGCGACGACGGGUAGCCGGCCUGAGAGGGCGACCGGCCACACUGGGACUGAGACACGGCCCAGACUCCUACGGGAGGCAGCAGUGGGGAAUCUUGCGCAAUGGGCGAAAGCCUGACGCAGCGACGCCGCGUGAGGGAUGACGGCCUUCGG
rnacentral:rRNA from 1 species